rnacentral:rRNA from 1 species
GGAAAGAUGAAAAGAACUUUGAAAAGAGAGUUAAACAGUACGUGAAAUUGUUGAAAGGGAAACGAUUGAAGUCAGUCAUACCAACGGGAAAUCAACCUUUUGAGUUCGUUCUUGUGGGUUUCGAGGAGUUUAAAAGCCUUCUGAUUUGUGAGGAUUGGGUUCUUUUGGUGUAUUUUCUCGUACGGUUAGUCAACAUCGGUUUUGAAUGUCAUAAAAUGAUUGGAGGAAUGUGGCUUCGAUCUCGUAUCGAAGUGUUAUAACCUUUGGUAGAUGUGAUGUUCGAGACCGAGGAUUGCAACGGAUACCUUUCAGGCUAUUCGUCUGAUCUCUGAUACGUUGCCUUGAUGUCGAAAGCGUGCUUAUGAUGUUAGGGUAUUACGGUCAAAAGGUUAGAACGGAUUAAAUUCGUUAAGGAUGUUGACGUAAUGACUUUAAACGACCCGUCUUGAAACACGGACCA